rnacentral:tRNA from 1 species
GGGGCGAUGGUCCAGCAUGGUCUAAGAUACUUGGCUCGGGCCCAAGUGAUCGUGGGUUCAAAUCCCACUCGCCCCACCA